rnacentral:rRNA from 1 species
AUACGGAGGGUGCAAGCGUUAUCCGGAAUCACUGGGUUUAAAGGGUGCGUAGGCGUUAGUUAAGUCAGAGUGAAAGCCCGGCGCUCAACGUCGGAAUUGCCUUUGAUACUGGCUAACUUUGAAUCAGGUUGAGGUGGGCGGAAUGUGGCAUGUAGCGGUGAAAUGCAUAGAUAUGCCAUAGAACACCAAUUGCGAAGGCAGCUCACUGGCCCUGCAUGACGCUGGAGGCACGAAAGCGUGGGGAGCGAACAGGAUUAGAUACCCGCGUAGUCC